rnacentral:rRNA from 1 species
UACGAAGGGGGCUAGCGUUGCUCGGAAUCACUGGGCGUAAAGGGUGCGUAGGCGGGUCUUUAAGUCAGGGGUGAAAUCCUGGAGCUCAACUCCAGAACUGCCUUUGAUACUGAAGAUCUUGAGUGCGGGAGAGGUGAGUGGAACUGCGAGUGUAGAGGUGAAAUUCGUAGAUAUUCGCAAGAACACCAGUGGCGAAGGCGGCUCACUGGCCCGAGUACUGACGCUGAGGCACGAAAGCGUGGGGAGCAACAGG